GACUGGUGACCCGGGUUCUCUUCUUUCAAGUUCCCCUAAGCGAAGCAGGGCGCCACCUACAGUCGAGUUCUAACUAGCACGUUGGUGAGAAGGCUGGUGAACCUUUCCUAAACAAGGCCGGAUUUUGGGCACAGCCAUCUCAUAUUUGUAAUCACUCCAGACCGAUCGGUCUGUUGGCAGGCAGCAACAGACGAGACCAUACCGAAAAUGCGCGUUGGAGGCGUGCAGAAGUUGGGAAACAGAACAGUACUAGCUCUGAUUGGACUUGUUCGCGCUCUAAUGGUUUGGCUGGAUUUUGAUUCCAGUAUCUCCUCCAGGUUUCAGCCAAGGAGAGCAGCAGUCAAUUUCAUUAGGAAGAGUAUCUGUGUGACCUUAAACAAGUCGCUCCGUCAUUCACUCUCCUUUCUCAUCUCCUUUAGAACUAUAGCUGUGAUAGUUUUUUUUCCCCCUAAAUUAAUGAGACAAAGUAGGUGAGAAACUGCUGGUGCUAAGAGCUCCUACCUAUUUUUAAAGGAGGGGAAACCUUCUGAAAAAUAAAACUUUAAAGCCAUUGAA
rnacentral:lncRNA from 1 species